CUGCUAUUUCUUACAAAGUUCACGAACCGAAUUCGGCUUGCAAUGUGCCGAAUGUAAUAACUGUGACACCUCACCUCGCCGAGAAGGCUAAUGAGAUGACCUCGACCAACAAGGAUUCGAAAACCCUUCUCGACCGAGACUUGGAUAGGUAAUCGACCGUUCUCGCCGCAGUGCUGUUGAUGCCAACGGAAGAUACUGCGAGACCGACCGACUCUACGGUGACAGAGCUAUCUAUGCCGACUUAAGAUAUCACCGGUUGCUUCCACAGUGCUGUUGAUGCCAACGGAAGAUGUGUCAGUGAAAAAGGAAAAGAAAAAGAUCUCAAGUUGUGAGAGUUUGCGCAGGGCAAUUUUGUAUUGAUUUUGUG
rnacentral:lncRNA from 1 species